rnacentral:rRNA from 1 species
UGCAAACUGCGAAUACCGGAGAAUGUUAUCACGGGAGACACACGGCGGGUGCUAACGUCCGUCGUGAAGAGGGAAACAACCCAGACCGCCAGCUAAGGUCCCAAAGUCAUGGUUAAGUGGGAAACGAUGUGGGAAGGCCCAGACAGCCAGGAUGUUGGCUUAGAAGCAGCCAUCAUUUAAAGAAAGCGUAAUAGCUCACUGGUCGAGUCGGCCUGCGCGGAAGAUGUAACGGGGCUAAACCAUGCACCGAAGCUGCGGCAGCGACACUAUGUGUUGUUGGGUAGGGGAGCGU